CAGGUUUCAGAGUAGCAACCGUGUUAGUCUGUAUUCGCAAAAAGAAAAGGAGGAGUACUUGUGGCACCUUGGAGACUAGCAAAUUUGUUUGAGCGUGGGCUUUUGUGGGCUACAGCUCACUUCAUCGGAUCUGAUGGGGUGAGCUGUAGUUCACGGAAGUUUGUACUCGGGUGAAUUUGUUGGUUUCCGGGGUGCCACAAGUACUCCUUUUCUUUUUGCAAAUACAGACUAACACAGCUGCUACUCUGAAACC